ACCGGGAUUAAUACCAGAUAUGACCACUUUAGAACAUCUGCUGUGGUGGAAAGAAUUUCGGCUAGGGAUGUGCUCGCGGCCUAUCAGCUUGUUGGUGAGGUAACGGCUCACCAAGGCGACGACGGGUAGCCGGCCUGAGAGGGCGACCGGCCACACUGGGACUGAGACACGGCCCAGACUCCUACGGGAGGCAGCAGUGGGGAAUAUUGCGCAAUGGGCGAAAGCCUGACGCAGCGACGCCGCGUGGGGGAUGAAGGCCUUCGGGUUGUAAACCCCUUUCAGCAGGGACGAAGCGAGAGUGACGGUACCUGCAGAAGAAGCGCCGGCUAACUACGUGCCAGCAGCCGCGGUAACACGUAGGGCGCAAGCGUUGUCCGGAAUUAUUGGGCGUAAAGAGCUCGUAGGCGGUCUGUUGCGUCCGCUGUGAAAACUCGGGGCUUAACCCCGAGCCUGCAGUGGAUACGGGCA
rnacentral:rRNA from 1 species